ACCACUGUUCUCUGCAUUAUACCUCUCUGGAAAGCAGUACAAGGGAUCUGGUAUUCCUUUGGGUGACCUUGAAUAUUUUUGUUUUCGUACUCUAUGUGAGUUCCAAAUAAAAGAGCGAAAAGUGUCCAGUUCCUUUUGAAGUACAGGUUUGUUUUUCUUUUAUAUUUAUUGGGAUUUUUCAAAAGAUUUUGAAUGACAACAAUGGGCCACCAUACAAUACUACAUAAUGCUGAUUACCUCUAAUGCUGACACAGAGAUUACUGUGUUAGUUAGCAAUAAUCUAAUACAAGAUAACAUCAAGUAAAGCCUCAGUCUUAAUUAAAAAUAUAUAAUUUGUAAAUAUAGCAUAUAUACGCGACUGAGUUCACUUAGCUCAGUGACCUGAAACAUAAGUGUAUUAUAAUUAGCUAUUAAAGAUAAUUCAAAAA